rnacentral:rRNA from 1 species
GACGAACCGUGCGAACGUUAUUCGGAAUCACUGGGCUUAAAGCGCGUGUAGGCGGGUCGGUGCGUCGGCGCCUGAAAUCCCCCGGCUCAACCGGGGAACGCGGCCCGAAACGACCGGCCUCGAGGGACGUAGGGGGGACUGGAACUUCCGGUGGAGCGGUGAAAUGCGUUGAGAUCGGAAGGAACGCCCGUGGCGAAAGCGAGUCCCUGGACGUCUGCUGACGCUGAGACGCGAAAGCCAGGGGAGCAAACGGG